rnacentral:rRNA from 1 species
AGUGAACGCUGGCGGUAGGCCUAACACAUGCAAGUCGAACGGCAGCACAGUAAGAGCUUGCUCUUACGGGUGGCGAGUGGCGGACGGGUGAGGAAUACAUCGGAAUCUACUUUUUCGUGGGGGAUAACGUAGGGAAACUUACGCUAAUACCGCAUACGACCUACGGGUGAAAGCAGGGGAUCUUCGGACCUUGCGCGAUUGAAUGAGCCGAUGUCGGAUUAGCUAGUUGGCGGGGUAAAGGCCCACCAAGGCGACGAUCCGUAGCUGGUCUGAGAGGAUGAUCAGCCACACUGGAAGUUAGAUACGGUCCAGACUCUUGCGGGAGGCAGCAGUUGGGAAUAUUGGACAAUGUGCGCAAGCCUGAUCCAGCAAGACCGCGUGGGUGAAGCAGGGUUUCGGGUUGUAAAGGGCUUUUGUUGGGAAAGAAAAGCAGCACGUGAAGACUGAGCUGGUCGGACGGUACCGAAUGAAGAAGCACCGGCUAACGUCGUG